rnacentral:rRNA from 1 species
GACGAACGCUGGCGGCGUGCUUAACACAUGCAAGUCGAACGGAAAGGCCCUGCUUGCAGGGUACUCGAGUGGCGAACGGGUGAGUAACACGUGGGGGAUCUGCCCUGCACUUCGGGAUAAGCCUGGGAAACUGGGGCUAAUACCGGAUAGAAGCCAUUUUUAGUGUUAUGGUUGGAAAGAUUUUUCGGUGUGGGAUGAGGUCGCGGCCUAUCAGCUUGUUGGUGGGGUAAUGGCCUACCAAGGCGGCGACGGGUAGCCGGCCUGGGAGGGUGGACGGGCACAUUGGGGAUGGGAUACGGCCCAGACUCCUACGGGAGGGAGGAGUGGGGAAGAUUGCACAAUGGGGGCAAGCCUGAUGGCGGGACGCCGCGGGGGGGAGGACGGGCUUCGGGUUGUAAACUCCUUUCGCUAGGGACGAAGCUGUUUGUGACGGUACCUAGAUAAGAAGCACCGGCUAACUACGUG